CGUCGCAAAUUUGCGACGGAUUUUGCGACUAAUUGCGACAGAAUAAAAAUUUUCGUAUUCUAUCGCAAAUUCGUCGAAUUCUAUCGUAAUUUCUUUGCGACGGAAAAGUUCUGUCGCAAAUUCCGUCGCUAUAUUAAGAUUUUCUUGUAGUGUUUGUGUGUUGUCUCAGAAUCAGGAUUGUCCUCCACCAUCAAAUAUCGGAGAGUGAUGUGGCGUAUGUUCUUUCAUGCUUUGAGAAAAUAUUUCAUUGGGCGCCAGAAGAAAACGACAUCUAGAGAGAGAGAGAGAGAGUGCAUCAAAGCGUGAUCUUUGUGUCAAUCUUGAAUUAAAACAGCAUCGACUCUCGACCAUGUUCAAUGUACCGGAAUUCAUCUUGUGAUGAUAUGACUUCCGAUUUCCAUGA